CCGGAAUCAUUGGGCGUAAAGCGCGCGUAGGUGGCCUAAUAACUCCGCUGUGUAAGUCAAAGGCUCAACCUUUGAAAGCCGGUGGAUACUGUGAGGCUAGAGUACGGAAGAGGCGAGUGGAAUUCCUGGUGUAGCGGUGGAAUGCGCAGAUAUCAGGAGGAACACCAAUAGCGAAGGCAGCUCGCUGGGACGUUACUGACACUGAGGCGCGAAAGCGUGGGGAGCGAACAGGAUUAGAUACCCUGGUAGUCCACGCCGUAAACGAUGGGUACUAGGUGUGGGAGGUGUCGACUCCUCCCGUGCCGUCGCUAACGCACUAAGUACCCCGCCUGGGGAGUACGGCCGCAAGGCUAAAACUCAAAGGAAUUGACGGGGGCCCGCACAAGCAGCGGAGCAUGUGGUUUAAUUCGACGCAACGCGAAGAACCUUACCUGGGCUU
rnacentral:rRNA from 1 species